UAUAGCUUAGUAGUAGAGCACUUGCCUCCCAUGCAGAAGGUCCUAGGUUCAAUCCCUAGUA
rnacentral:tRNA from 1 species